CGGUGAUUGAAGAGAACAGACGUGUCGUGUCGAUCGAUGAUCCGGCAAAUUAAUAGGAUCUGACGCCACGAGUCUGCGUGAUGAUCGCCAACCGCCAUUUCACGUUCAAAUGGCUACUUCACGCUGAAAAUUUCGAUCGAAAUUUGUGGACAUCACAACGCCAGAAAAAUUGUGCAGCUUACCAGGGAAAGCAGAAUAAUAGAUUGUAUACAUCAUCAAACAAAGGAACUUCGAACUUCGGCGCAGAUAAAGCAGAGCUACUGCGAUUUCGACGUAGAUGAUGCAGAGCUGCUCCGACGAUCAGCGACAGCAGCGCUACUCCGAUGAUCAGCGACAGCAGAGCCAGUACAUAGCCCUUUAUCAAGACAAUGGUUGAUGACUGUGGGGAAUUUUGAAUUGACUAUACGACAAUAGAAAUAUUGUUUAUGCUUCAGAAAUUGUUCGUGAUAUCAUUGAUUACAAGAAGAAAGAAGGAAACUUGUAUGUUCCUGUAUUUCCUCGAAUAUCAUCGGAGGCUGGAUGUGUUGAUACAGUUGGAUUUAGAAUAUGUUAAUAAGAAAAUUGUAAUAAGAAAUAAGAGAAACACUAUAGUGUUUCAUUAUAUGUAUAUAUUAGCCGUUGUAUAUGAAAGCUGUUAUAUAUUUAAGUUUGAGCGCUCAAAUCGGUAGUAACAAUUAAUAUUUAACGAUAAGACAGACAAACGGAAACCUAAUUACAUGUAUUUUCCCUUUUUCCUUUUCUCUUCCAAAAUGUAGUACUACAUUAGUAUUCGACAAAUAAUGAGUCAUUAUUUUUUUAUAUUUUUAUUAGUGUAUGCCAUGGGGAAUACAAAAUCUAGAUUAAAAAGGGUGGCUAGGAUGUGGCUAGCUAGCUAAUCAGCUGGCUGGUUUUGUUCUGGUCACCCUGUGGGUCUCCAUAUGCAGCAACCUCCAAGUGGUGAGACCUGGGCCCUCUAUAUUAUUUGAAGUAUGUAAUUGCUAACUGCACAUCGCCAGUAAGGGUCAGAUGACAUUAUCAAUUCCAUACCAAGUGAUAUGAGCUAAUGGCUGCAAUUUUUCUCGUUUACAAGUAAAUGAAAAUAUGGUAACUUGAAAUUAGAAUCUUUUUGAUCCUAUUAUUAUUAUAAAAGUCUGUAGUAUACAGAACGUAAUUAAUAAUUUGUUAUAUAAAUAUCUUAUUCGUUUCUAUUUCUAUUUUUGUUUCUAUUUAGACUAUAAAUUAGGGAAUGUUCACAUGCAGUUCAAAGGAUCUUCGUUUCAACAAAUAUAACUUUUGAAAUGACAGAAAUCUUUCAAAUUGCGUCUCACUUUCUCUGGUUUACUUUCUUUGGAAUAAUUUAAAGCAAUUUAAAAAAACCCACUAUUAUAUUAUAUAUUUAAAUAAUUAUAAGUGUCCCACCUUUUUGAUGGACCGUAAUGCAUGGUGGGACAUUUUUAAUCUCACCUCGAAAUUUUUGCAAUAACUGCAUGUGUAUAGGUGUGAUACCUUUAUUGAUAAAAAUAUAACAAUUCUGUUUGAUUUAAAACGCAAUAAAAUUCCUGUGCAACAUGGGUCUAUUUUAUGACCUGAAUUCCAGUGCCGCAAAGAGUUAAAUCGUCAUACAAAUUCAGUGACUCCUAAAUGCGGCGCCCCCUUGUGAGUCCCACGAUGAUUCUGUGACCCUCCCGUCCUUUAUCAGUUCUCCGUCCAGUCGUACAAAAACUUCACACCGGGCAAGAGAAUGAUAAGGGACUUCGAGCACAUAACCACGCACGCCUUUAACGGGACGUUACUAAAAAUUCCAGUUGUCUUUUGGUAUCCAAUGAUUUUGUGGUUCACUUCUGUCAGUUCUGUAAACAAACAAAAAAAAAUGUUUAGAUACCAAAGCGCUCUCGCAAAAUUAUAUCGUUCUUUUUUUCAGACAAACGUCAAUGUCGAUAGAUAAUAGCAAUGUCGAUAUUUUUUCCAACGAAUAAUAUUAUAUAAUAUAAACUAUUUCUGUCGACAAUAACGUAAGCCUAUAUGAUUACAUUAAGUGUAAGGUAUGUUUAAUGCGUGUGCAUUUGAAUAAUGUCUGUACGAUAUACAUAUGUACAAUAGUUCGUGUGCAAUUGCACGAGGUAUGAACGUUUUUCAAAUAUUUCGAAUUGGCAAAUGCCUUUAUUGAUUCUUUCCAAUUUCGUUUAAAUGGCUAUAACAUGGGAUAUUAUGCGAAAUUAAGAUUCCUUGUAUUUUAUGAAUAUCACGUGCAAGUGUUAAACCAAGGGAACAUUACUCCAACAUUUAUGUUCUCUCUUAUGUUUCUUUGAUUGGAUCGUUUCACUUUCUGAAGAAUCCUGAUAAAUACCUC